CCAGACUCCUACGGGAGGCAGCAGUGGGGAAUAUUGCACAAUGGGGGAAACCCUGAUGCAGCGACGCCGCGUGAGGGAAGAAGGUUUUCGGAUUGUAAACCUCUGUCCUUGGUGACGAAAGAAGACGGUAGCCAAGGAGGAAGCCACGGCUAACUACGUGCCAGCAGCCGCGGUAAUACGUAGGAGGCAAGCGUUAUCCGGAAUGACUGGGCGUAAAGGGUGCGUAGGUGGUUUGACAAGUUAGUAGCGCAACUCCGGAGCUUAACUUCGGAACUACUACUAAAACUGUUGGACUUGAGUGCAGGAGGGGCAAUCGGAAUUCCUAGUGUAGCGGUGGAAUGCGUAGAUAUUAGGAGGAACACCAGUGGCGAAGGCGGAUUGCUAGACUGUAACUGACACUGAGGCACGAAAGCGUGGGGAGCAAACAGGAUUAGAUACCCCCGUAGAA
rnacentral:rRNA from 1 species